rnacentral:lncRNA from 1 species
UCACAAUAAUUUUAGUUUAAAGUUAAACUUCUCACUGAAUAAUUUCAGCACACAAAGCUGUACAUUUUUUGCCUCAAACUAAACAUACCCAGUACGGCAGUACCUUAAUUGCCUGUGCAUACAAAAUACAAACAGCUCAAAUUCCAAUCUAACAAAAAUAGGAGAUAAAAAGAUCGCAACUUUCACAACCCAAAAACAAAUGUAUACACAGUAAUGUCCAAACUCCAAAGUAAUAGUUCAAACACAUUAAUAACAAUGCAAAGUAGUAUCAACCUUAGGAUUAACAAGUCCAAACAUAAUACAUAAAACAAGAUGACAAUAACUACAUCUUACUUUCCACCAUCCAUCAUCACCUUCUUCAAUCCUUUCAUAGUGACUCCAAACAUGUGAGAUAGCUUUGAGACCACAAAGUCGAGGCAUGGUUACACCUAUUAAACAUAACAAGAAAAUAUAUUAAGCAAGUAAUAUUUGUAAUCAUACUAUGUGUUAUAUAAGUUGAAUAAUUAACUUACCAAAGUUUUAACUUACAACUAUCUAGGAUUCUACAUAUCAUCAUCGCAGGGUUCGUUUUCAAGAUUGGCAAAAUCUAUGAUAAUAUAUAUUAACAAGUCAAACAACAAAAAUAUUAAAUAAACUAUUUAUAAAAAUAAUAUACAAUCAAACAAAUUAAAAUAUUGCUACCUUGUUCUAGUUGCUCGAGAACAUCUAAAUCUUCCUCAACACUUACAGGUAAUGCUCACUUCGAAGCCAAUCUUGAAGGCACAGGAGAACUUCCACCAAUUUAGGAGUCAAUGAACUCCUAAAUGAAUCAAGAAUAUGCCCUCCAGUGCUAAAUGCACAUUCAGAUGCAACACUUGAAAUAGGAAUAGAUAAUACAUCCCGAGCCAUCUCAGCAAGAAUGGGGAAUCUAAGUGAGUUUACUUUCCACCAAAGCAAUAUAUUACUGUCUGCUAUUUCAUUUUCAACUUCUUUUGUUAGAUAUUUUUCCAAUUCUGAUUUAGAAUCUGAACCUCCAAUCCCAGCUUUAUGUCUUUUUAAUUCUUCAAAGAAAGAACCAAAAGAUCCAUUUGAAGUUUCCAUUGUGUCCAAUGAAGAGUUAGAUAAACAUGAAGAGGGACGACAAACUUUAUCUUUUGAACAAGACUUUACAUACUCAUCAAACAAUGAAGUCAUGUAUGUAUGCACUCCCUUCGCGAUAAUUGACCCUUUCUCUUCGAACAUCUUCGCAAGUGCAAAACUAACAGAAUCAAACUUGUACCGAGGAUCCAAAACACAUGAAAUGAAAAUCAUUUUGUUCAUUUUUUCUGGAUCACCCCAAUACUUAUCAAAUUUCUCCUUCAUUUUCUUUGCCAUUGAACCCAACAAAACAUCUUCAUUUAAUAUCAAUUGUUUCAAGUAAACAACAACUUCACAAAUUUCAAGAAAAUGAUGAUUUGAUGUAACAUAAAGUGAGCCAGAUACCUUUACAGUAAGCUUAUAAAAGAUUUCAAGAAAUUUUGUCAAUUUCUUUACAUCCUCCCAAUCACUACUCAAAAGUGUACCUGCAGGACUUCCAUUUACAAUAUCAACAAACUCAAGAUGAUGUGACAAGCCAAUAUCAUGAUCAACAUAUUCUAAAAUUGCACUCUCAUAUUCAAUAGCCCUGUUCAACAUUAAGUAUGUAGAAUUCCACCUUGUAGGAACAUCCAAACAUAAAGAUUUCCUAACUAGAUCUCCUUCAUCACAACAUUCCUGAAACUUUUUCCACCUAGCAGGAGACUGCCUGAUAUAUCUCACUGCUUGCCUAAUACGUUCAAUAGACACAAUUGAUUCUUUUAUACCAUCCUGAACAACAAGAUUCAUAAUAUGAGCCAUACACCUCACGUGAAGGUGCUUACCAUUCAUUGAAUUGGUCCCCCAUUUAGUUAACUUCUUAGAAAGCUCCUUCACCGUCACAUCAUUUGAACUAGCAUAUCAACUGUGAUAGUGAAAAUCUUUUGUAACCCCCAUUCUUUCAAACAAUUAACAAUACUAUUUGUCAUAUCUUCCCCCCUAUGACUAGAAAUUGGACAAAAGUUGACAAUUCUUUUAUGCAUUUUCCAUUCAUUAUCAAUCCAAUGAACAAUAAUACACAUAUAAUUUAUUCGUUGUAAGGAAGUCCAAGUAUCAGUGGUAAGGCAAACUCUCUGAUCUUUAAAAAGCUUCACCAACUUACGUUUUUCAUCAUUUAAAAGAUCAAAAUAGUCCCGAGUCACAGUUCUACGUGAAGGAAUUCGAAAAAAAGGUUGUGCAACUUUCAUAAAAUUCAUAAAACCUUCCUUUUCAACAAAGCUGAAAGGAAGUUCAUCAACGAUCACCAUACGACACAAAGCCUUCCUACAUUGUUCUUGAUCAAAUUUCCAAGGAACUACGGCUACAUCACCCUUAUUACCCCACGGAAUAGGGUUAAAGCCUAGUUUUGAUUGACUUUUUGCAACAUCUAAAGGCAUUUUUAAACACUUGGCCAUAUGUGUAAGGAGUGAUUUCGUACCAUUAUCUUUUGAAUCGGCAAAAUAUUCUCUUUUGCAAUGUUUACAAACACCCUUUUGAUUUCCUUCCGGAUCAAUAAUUUGGUCGAAAUAUUCCCAUGCAACAGACCUCUUUUUUCUUUGUUUUUUUGCUUUCGAUUAAACUGAUUGAGAUUGUGAUGUGGCAUUUGAAUUAGAANNNNNNNNNNNNNNNNNNNNUAGAAGCUCCACUUUCACCAAUCACCUUAUCAAUCAUGAUAUUUUCAGCCAUGUUUUUGUGUCACUGUGAAUUUGAUUUAAAAGAAAUCAAGCAGCGAGACAACAAAAUCUUAAAAUGAAAUACAUAUAACUACUUAUUUAACUUAAAAUCUUAAAAUGAAACACAUAUUUUUUGAAUAAAUGCUCAAUACUUCCUGCCACAACAUAGACAGUAAACAAGUGAGGAUGGGAAACAACUCAGUCUAAGGCGCUAAGCAGCAACUAUCAAGCAGGGUAAAAUAAAAGAUAAGUACGGACAACAGAGAAAGAAAACACCACCUUCGUUUGUUAUACAACACCAAAUUUUCAGGAUGUUACCCACUAAAUUUGCAUGAUGUUAUAGUAUAAAUCAGUGUAGUAUAAAUCAGUAUAGUAUGAAAAAGGAAACCAAACAAUCAGUGUAGUAUAAAUUCAAGAAACCAAACAUUUUAGGGAAACCAUUUUUCGAGCUUCAUAAAAAGGAAAAUAUGCAAAAAUUGAUUUCUAAGAUACCAAACUAAGAUGAAUUCAGAAAUGGGAUAUGAAAGACUAACCUUAGUGCAAUGCUCUGCCGGAAAAAGAUAUAGAAAACUGAGUUUUGACGGGCUCAGUCGUGUGGGCGUGAGUCAUGAGGCAGAGAACUGGUGAGGGCUUGACUGCUUGAGCCGUGUGGUCGGUGGCGGACUGGCAGAGAACUGGUGAGGUUUGACUUCUGAGGGUGAGGACUGAGGACUAAGGGCUUGACUGAGGACUUCAAGCAUAUGACAGGAGUGAGUGAGGCGGACAUCGGAGAAAGCAAAGCACUAUAUGAAAUAAUGAAAAUG